GGCAGUUCUCGGUUGACGCACCCCGGAAUCGGGCUCCCUCCUCUCUGGUUCCAGGUGCAUCACCCAAGAACUGCA
rfam:Myotis brandtii contig177266, whole genome shotgun sequence.